UGGGGAAUAUUGGACAAUGGGGGGAACCCUGAUCCAGCCAUGCCGCGUGUGUGAAGAAGGCCUUAUGGUUGUAAAGCACUUUAAGCGAGGAGGAGGGUACUGGUAUUAAUACUACCAGGUACUGGACGUUACUCGCAGAAUAAGCACCGGCUAACUCUGUGCUAGCAGCCGCGGUAAUACAGAGGGUGCGAGCGUUAAUCGGAUUUACUGGGCGUAAAGCGUGCGUAGGCGGCUAAUUGAGUCGGAUGUGAAAUCCCCGAGCUUAACUUGGGAAUUGCAUUCGAUACUGGUUAGCUAGAGUGUGGGAGAGGAUGGUAGAAUUCCAGGUGUAGCGGUGAAAUGCGUAGAGAUCUGGAGGAAUACCGAUGGCGAAGGCAGCCAUCUGGCCUAACACUGACGCUGAGGUACGAAAGCAUGGGGAGCAAACAGG
rnacentral:rRNA from 1 species